ACAAAAUAAUGAGCAAAGAUUUUAAACAAAAGUACAGACAGGAGUGGGAGUCUCAACCCGAUACAAAGACAUGGCUCUGCAGAAGUAAAAAUGCAGUGGACGUUGAUAUGUUGAUAUUUUGAGUCGAAUAGCAUCAAUUAGACAGCACGCUGCCACACACAAACAUAAGGAGAAAAAUAAGUUCUUGUGUGGCCAAUCUAAGAUUGAUUCGUUCGUGGAUGAUACAAGCAAAAGUGUUGCGACUAGAGUGAGGAGAGCUGAAUCGCUGUUUGUUGCUGCUGCAGCAGAGCACAACAUACCGUUCCGGGCAAUGGAUCAUCUUAGCAAUGUCAUCAAAAACGCAUUUCCUGACAGUGACAUUGCGCAAGGCUUUGCUUGCAAACGGACCAAGUCGGCAUCUUUGGCUUACAAUGUGAUGGCACCUGCUGCAAAGGAAAAACUGAGGAGUGAGGUUAAAAAGAGCGUGUGCCCAGCUGGAAAAACCAUGUUUUCGAUCAUCAUCGACGAGUCUACGGAUGUGACAUGUACUACUUUACUAGCGUGCGCAGUAGUUAUUCGACACCAAGUACUUAUUUUCGAUUGAUUUGGAUGGCGAGAAAGCAGAGGACUUAUUCCAAGCUUUGGAUAAGGGACUUCAGGAAUUUGUGUUCAGCAUGGAGAACAUCAUAGAAUUUACAGCUGACACCACUAAUGUCAUGUUUGCACCGAAGUACCAUCCGGCCGUAAUAUCUCGUUCACUCCGCCAGUUACGACACAGAUGGGGAAGAGAGUGAAAGCGAACAAGUGCGCCUGCAAUGUGUCUACAGGACUUUUCCAUUUUGUUGUAUUUUAAAAAUUGUGGAUGUAUUUUCUCGUUCUGUGAGCGCGGUUACAAUGUUUAAUAUUGAGUAAAAAAAAAGAAUGUAGAUAUUUUAAGACUUGACCUGAAAUUCGUAGCUUCUGACACUCGUAAAUUUAUUAUUACAAAAUUUG